rnacentral:lncRNA from 1 species
ACACAACAAAGCAGCCAGUGGUUCACUCACACACGCCACCGCGCAAGUGUGUCCGUGCAGCUGGAAUUUCAACCUGGAGCUGAGACCUCCAGAUGGACUCCUAGAAGGGUGACGUGUAAAGCUGCAUCCCUCAGCAGCCCACGAUCUUGGCAGGUUUGCCACUGUGACCAAUGUUUUAUUGAAGCUUCUGAGGCCGUAGAGCACAGGGAAGUUCCGAGCACACAGAGGACAAGCCAGGGCGGUGCUGUGUGGCCCAAAACAACCUUAAGUAGGAGACAUGAGUGGGGGACGGUUUCUGACACCUUGAUUCCUCAUGUCUGUGUUUCUGCAGUGUGGAGCAUUGUGAGUCUGUGUGGCAGCAACCACGAAGAAAGUGAUACAGACUUGGUGGCGGAGAGCACCGACUGCCGCCAGGAUGAGGAGGCUGCAGCAACCCCCGACGAUGUUGUGGAGGCCGGUGGGAGUGAGAAGACCAAGGAGGAGGCCCUGGCGGGAAACUGAGGAGGAGAUGGGGCUGGGGACUGUGAAGGCAGAGGAGGAGGAGAAAAGGAGGAAGCUGCAGCCAUAGACAAGGCGGAGGAGGAGGCGGGCCCAGCCCAUGAAAAUGACAAGGAGGAGUCGCCAGCCAGCGACCGGGCUGAGCAGGAAGACAAGCCUGCCCCCAAGGUAAGCUCACCUUUCUUGAUGUGAGAUUUGAAAAGUUGCCUUUUUUCUUUUUUGAUAUCCCUAUCUCAGAAAUGGAAAUCUGAGAAAGUCCGUUAUAGAGGGUAUAUGCAGAUUCCUCUGCGGAGGAAUGUUGAGUCAAAGUUUGGUACCAACCAAUGACUCCUUCCAAGGGGCACUGGCCAAAGUGACCGCAUCAGUUCCCAAGUGUACGGCAGGGAGCAUUUUUCUUUGAAGAAGCCUGAAUGUUGUUUUGUUUUGUUUUGUUUGUUUGUUUUUUGCCUUUU